ACUACUGACUGGUGUGAAUUUGCAUCCAAAGCUGGUUGGUUUCAAUUCUGUAUCAGCAGUCUGUUAAAGCCACUACUCUGGGUACUUCUCUUAAAGUGGAGGCCUAGAUUAAACAAUCAUAUCACCUUUGUCUAUAUUGUAUAAUAUGAAAUAAUUGAAAUAUAUGAAAUAUAAUAUGAAAUAAUAAUAUGAAUAAUUUGAAAACUUAAAAUACAGUCAGACCCUUGUGUAUUUUAAAUACUUCUAUAAACUCGUAUAUUUUCCCAUGUCACUGGGUAGGCCUUACAGUGGAGUACACGAUACCCCUGAGGAGCACAGUGCAUCGCUCGGUCGUGGGGAUGGCAUAAAAAUGUCACUUGAGGAAAAAACAAUGGAACUUUAAGCUGUUUGGCAUUCGUAUGCAACAAAUUUACAUAUGUGAAAUGGAUGCAUAGCGGCAUUUGAAACCAUGGCUCAUUUUCUUUGCGUCAGGGAUAUCGGUUCUUAAACGCUUUGGUCCUUUUUUUCUAGCCCAAAGUAAAAAGCUGCUUUUCUGUGGGAGCCUGAGGAGAACAUGCUCAAGAUGAAAGGAAGUGGAAUACAGCGGAAGGGCAGCCAAAUUCUGAUGGCUUCCUUGCAGAUGGUCUUGAGCACUACUGGGAAUGGAGCCUGGAGUCUUGACUCACAUGCCUCUCUUUAACCGGUAGGUAAUAUUUCCUCUUUGGUGGUGAAUUGCUGAACCCAAAACUGAAAUAACUGAUCAUUUGCAAGCCUGGAACACAGUCCACUUUCAAGUUGCUUCAGAAAUCUUGCUUUGCUGCACUGGUUUGUUAAGUUGCAGUGCACUCCGAAAAAAAAAAAAGGGGGAAAAGUUUCUAUGUCCAUACAUGGUAAAGAAUUUCUGAGAAAUGCUUUGGAAUU
rnacentral:lncRNA from 1 species